GGAGAGGUGCUGGAGUGGUCGAUCAGGCACGCCUGGAAAGCGUGUAGGGGUGCAAGUCCCUCGUGGGUUCGAAUCCCACCCUCUCCGCCA
rnacentral:tRNA from 1 species